rnacentral:rRNA from 1 species
UACAGAGGUCUCAACCGUUGUUCGGAUUCAUUGGGCGUAAAGGGUGCGUAGGCGGUCGGGUAAGUCGGGUGUGAAAUCUCGGGGCUUAACUCCGAAACUGCAUUCGAUACUGCCGUGCUUGAGGACUGGAGAGGAGACUGGAAUUUACGGUGUAGCGGUGAAAUGCGUAGAUAUCGUAAGGAAGACCAGUGGCGAAGGCGGGUCUCUGGACAGUUCCUGACGCUGAGGCACGAAGGCCAGGGGAGCAAACGGG